UAAAAUGGAGUUUCUGGUCCUAAAAGUUUUUUUGGAAUUCUGACUAAAAUUUUGACUUUAAAAAAAAUCGUUUGCGGUACAAUUGGUCACAAACCUAGCACAAUUCAGCACAAUUUUGGUUUUUUUGAAAAAAUGGCGUUGCCAACUUCUUGGACAUCAGGAAAAGACUACAAGGACAUCACAGGAGUAAUAAAUCCGCAGUUAAGCACCAGCAGUUCAAUUCAGGAGGAUGGGAAUACUUCUUGAUAGUUCUGUGUCAAAGCUGAUUAGUACCGACCUACUGAUCCAGGAUUGACGGUAGACCCAAAAUCUACUUUUGGAGACCUCUUCAUUGGACUACAUAAUUUGACUUAGUGUACCUCAUGACUAAGUCACUUUGGCAAAAUACUAUUCUAAUAUUUCAAUCCACAGCCGUGAUUUUUCGGGUGUCAUCUUUUGUUCUUAUUUUCAAAUCGAAAUUUCAUUUCUGACGAGAACUGUUUCCUCUCUCUGUUGAGCAAUUCUUAAUUUGCCAAACUCACAAAUUAAAACUGAUUUUCUUAACAACAUACGACACAAAAAAUCUCACCUGCAAAGAUGAUGAAGAGGUCGAAGCAUCUCUUCUAAUAUACAGGGUUUAUUUUCUAGAAAAGAAAGAGCAAUAGCUCCGGUUUCGAGAGUUGAUAAGCAUCCUUCAUUAGGUUGUGUCCUAAUAACGUAUUGACUAGUUGGAACUCCAACUAUUUUGCAUGCUCGAAGAGAAUUCAACACUGGACUGGCAUGGUAUAUAGCCUGUAACAAAUGAAAUAUUAUUGAGAAUUCCUAAUUAGACUCUAAACCAAUAUCCCAAAGAAAAUAGUCUUACAAAUUGUUCUGAAUAUAGAGUGCAUCAACUGCAUUCUAAUUCAAUCCAGUAUCGUAUCUCUAUUUCUUAGUAAAUGAAGAUAAGACGCUAUAGCGUACUAAAGUUGUUUUGAUACACUUUGUAAUCAGAAAUCUUUGUUAAAAUAACGGAAUUUCGGAAAUAAGGUGGACAAAUUAUGCGCAUUUAUAAAUUAUAACAUUUUUUGCAUUCUGAUCCAAACACCUAAAAUCUAUUGUUCGUUCAUUUAAAGACAUUGAAUAAAAAUAUUUUUUACAAAUAAUAGUUCCGAUGCAAAAAAAUUCCGCAAGUAAAAAAGUAUCAGUAUAAUAAACAUUAGGGUAAUUCAUUUAAACUACGACUAUUCUUAAUAUUUCGUCUCGUCCCCUAGUUUUGUUUCCAAACUUGUAGAAAAUGGAAAAUAUGGAAAAAAGGCAACUUCUUCUUAAUGUGUCGCUAAUCGCGAAAAUAUGGCACUAACGGAACUUAUAAUACCUGUCCCUGUUCAGAAUAC